ensembl:lncRNA WDR86-AS1 WDR86 antisense RNA 1
GGGGUCGGUGGAGCCGGGAUGUCAAGUUCACCUUCCAGCCGCCGCGGGCUCCCUCGGCCUGGGGCGCCUCUAAUGGACCCCGGGGUCGGCCUGAGCCCUCCCGGAGCGCCCGGCGGCUGGUUUCCAUUAGGGCAGUUCCGGCGCCGACUUCGCUGGGGACGGGGAAGGUGACCCCCCUACUCGGAUCCCCCAGGUCCUAAAGCCAACACAAGCCAUCAGCCCCAUGCUCAGCUCCCAGCAGGCAGAGCGUUCAGAAGCGCCAGCGCCAUCAUCUUGGGAGCCUGCAGUCCACACACCGCUGACCUUACCUACUUCCUCUUUCCAGGUCGUAGAUUACAGACUCUCCUCUGGGAAAUUGCCCCCAGA